UACGGGGGGGGGCAAGCGUUGUUCGGAAUUACUGGGCGUAAAGGGCUCGUAGGCGGCCAACUAAGUCGGAUGUGAAAUCCCCAGGCUUAACCUGGGAACUGCAUCCGAUACUGGAUGGCUUGAAUUCGGGAGAGGGAUGUGGAAUUCCAGGUGUAGCGGUGAAAUGCGUAGAUAUCUGGAGGAACACCGGUGGCGAAGGCGGCAUCCUGGACCGACAUUGACGCUGAGGCGCGAAAGCCAGGGGAGCAAACGGG
rnacentral:rRNA from 1 species